UACUGCGUGUACGGCGAUUGUGUCGAUGUCGGAUCCUGUGUAUGUAAUCCUGAGUAUUUGGGAAGGUCCUGUGAUAUCAAACGCACAUGUUCGAACGUCACGAUGGAAACUGAAUUCGGACAGGCCAGACUUCCGAUGACUGAAGUUGGAAUCGUUAUUGACUCGGAAGAACUGUGCCCAGAGGAAGAUUCUGAAGGCCUUGCUGCACCAAUUAUAAGAGCUGUUUGUCAAGUUUCUAAUAACGGCACAACUUCUUGGAACGCCAGCAUAAGAUGUCAAGAUUAUGUCACGCGACAAUUAAAGAGAAAA